ensembl:lncRNA
GUAUGCUGUUUUCAGGUCGGUCAUCAGGCAGGUGACCCUUUUGCCAGGUCUGGGGUUGUUUUGCCUUCAGGUUAAGGAUGGAAACAAACUGCUGAAGCAACUACCACUUGUGUGCCACAUUACCUGAAGAGGAGCAGAUCCAUCUCACAGAAAUCACUGAAAGGGAAAGCAAGAAAUGGUCCUCAAAAAAUCAAAACAAAAUUGGCUUUCUGUUGUCAGAGAAGCUGGGGGCACUGUCAACACAGAAGAGGAGCUCACCUGAAAAGCUAGCUCAUGCUCUGCAGCUCUUGUCUUUCCUGGGUAUAAGAACAAGAGCAGAAAAGUGCUAAAGAGCCAAACUUCUGUGCCAUGAAUGGAGCCAAAGCCCACUGUUAAGUGUGAGAUCUGCAUUGUGCUCGGCUGCAUUUCUACAUGCAUACAUGAGUGUGGUCAGAGGUCUGGGCACUGACUCUUGCUCCACUGGGACACAGAAAGGAUCUGAUGGGUGUUUGGUGCAGCCUUUCAUCAACAUAAGCUGCUCUCCAUGCUGCACAUCUCUUCUGGGGAGAUUUAGGUUGAAUAUAAGAAAAAGUUUGUUUGUUUUACACUAUAGGUGGUGAGGCAUUGGCACAGGUUGCCCAGAGAGGUGGUGGCUGCCCCAUCCCUGGAGUCACCCAAGGUCAGGCUGGAUGGGGCUCUGAGCACUGAUGAAGCUGUGGGUGUCCCCAUUCACUGCAGGGGAAUUGGACCACAUGGCCUUUAAUGGCUCCUUCCAACGCAACCAAUUCUAUGAUUCUGGGGUCAAGAUGUCCUUUCUAGAUAUUGCUGGCUGCAGAAUAACAGUGCCUGGAGUUAGGGUAUGCCAGGUACUGCACCCCAUGGGGAAAUUCAUCAUGGGUUUCAAGGACAACACAUCGAGGUCCCUCCUUCAGCUGUCAUUCAGGAAUUUGCCUCCUGGUUCUUACCCAUUAAAUAUUUCUAGCAUAACAGGAUGGGGCUCCAAAGAGGAGUGUCUGGCAGAAGAGUUCCCAGUUUUGAUUUCCCUAAUUAAAAACAAGUCCUCUCAACUCUCAAAGCUCUAAUCUGAGCAUAAUACUUUUCAAGACCAGAAUGCUUUCCUUGCAUUUAGAGCAAGAGUUUAGAGCAACAAGCUUAAAAGCAUAUUUUUGUGUUUUUUAAAAAACAGUUUCACCCUAUUUAUUCUGCAGUUGGAGGGGCCAAUAAGCCAAGGAAACCCCAAGAACAUACAGAUAUUGAAUGGACUGAUACGAAUCUACUACAGCAAGAUUUAUGUUGAGACAACUCGGUCUUUGCUAUUCGUGUGAAGAAGCAUUUGCAGGAUGCAGAUCCUCAGUAUAGCAUGUGGAGGAGCUGAACAGGUGCUGUGCCUUGGGGCCCACAGGGAUGGAGAUGAAGCUGUUUGAACACUUGUCUGUAUGCAGGCAGUCAAAUGGAUUUUGAAAGCGUAUGUGCCAGAGCUGAAGAGCCUACAGGACCCAGGUGUUUGCACCUGAUAAAAAGCCAAGACAAGCGCUGUGAGUGUAGGAAUCUGAAGACAAGACUCAGUCUCUUUCCAUGAAUGAUUCCUGGCCCCACAAAAGCAGAAUCAGAACACUAUUUCCCACUGAGAACCAGAUCCUCCAGCUAAGAGAGGAGCUCACAAGCACUUGUAUGCACCCCAUACAUGGGACUGAAAGGGAGAAACCACAGAACAGAGAUGAGAGAAUUCCUGGAGAUGUCCAAGGUCAGGCAGGAUGGGGCUCUGAGCACCUGAUGGAGCUGUAGGUGUCCUUGUUCACUGCAGGGAGUAUGACCAGAUGGCCUUUAAAUGUCCCUUCUGACUCAAACGAUUCUAUGAUUCUAUGAAGUUAUGAUGGAAGAGCAGAGCAGUUGGGUUUUGCUGGAAGAUGAAGAGCAGGAAGCUCAGUAAGAAGAGCCACAUCCAAUGUUUCAGUGAGGGACUUCAGGAACCAUCGUUCUUCCCUAAAAAUGACAUGCCUAGAUUCCUCUGGCCACCCUGGGUUAUCUUCCACGUGGCCAACAGCAGUAAUUUUCUGUGAUCUAGGAAUAUCCCACUAGGCUUUCUAUUUCGCACUGUAAAUAAGUGGUUGCUUUUAACUCACUCCUUGUCAUAAUUUCACACACUCCUUGGUGUAUCAGAGCAUAAUAAAGAAGAUCAGAAGCCACAGUGCCUGACGUGGCUGCUUUACAUGUCUGCUCAAGACAGCCCUCACCAAAAUCCUUCCUUUGAAGUCAAGAGAAGAUCCACAUGGACAAUAGAUCCCCACUAUGUACGUGACCCAGCACUCAUCAAAUACAGUAACAUGCUACAGAUUACUUCUCCCCAAAUAUUUAUUGGACCCUAUGCAUUUUUGUCUUAGCUCGAUGGUGUUCAAGUCACACAACCCCCAAGGAUACAUGGAAUUUCCCAUGCUCGCUGCACUGAACUUCACAUCUAUGGUUGGGUUGGCAACCACCUCCCAGGAUGAGCUCUGGACCCAUGGAAACAUCAGUACAGCUGCAUUUGGGAGCUAAGCUAAUAUUUUCCACUUUCAGUAAUAAAGCAUGUGGCAUGAUUUCCAUCCAACACAAAACCUGCGUGCGAUCCCAUGUAUUGGCAGGACCACCAGUGGGAACUGAACUGGGUGAAGAAAGAAACCAUUUUUCCUACAUUUACCAUUUUAAUUGACUUCUCCUUUCAUUUGUUCCCCUUUGGUGCCCUCUGACUACAAACGUUCAAGUGGCUGUAGUAACCCCCAGGAAAAAAAAUAGUUGUGCUAAAUGAGAUUUUUUUUUAUGUGUGGGUGUUUAAGUAUCUGCAUGAAGCAAAUUUCUACCCUCUUCUAAUCAGAAUGGGAAGGAGACCAUGUGAGUGAUGUGACCAAUUAUGACCGAGCACCCCAGAGCAGCGUCUGAAUAUUCACGUCCAAUUGCUACUUUGGUGGAACAAUUGGUUUGAACAGUUUGAAAAGGCAAUGAUGUCAAACGUGCAGCGUGAUUAAACACGGUGAAAUUACCAGCCGUUGAGCUGAAAGAGGAGCUCUGUUCACUUCCCAGAGCGAUGCUGCUUUCAAAUUUUGCUCUGAUGGGAGCAGGAAACACCAUGCCCAGGUGGCCUUAUCCCGGAGUCCCAAAUUGCUCAGUGCAGAGGUGCAGCUGAGCUUCGGAGGUAGCAUGGACUGGGAUUUGGGAUGCGUGCAGCAAGCUAAAUGCGUCCCCUUUACCCUGACCCUAAAGUAGGCACAAUCCUGUUCCUCUGGUAGUUCAUUCUGCAAGAACACCACGCUGCAUAUGUGAUCUGAAUCGAUGCUUUUUGGGGCCAAGUAUCUGGGAGCUGAACCAUCCCAACAACAGGCAAACGCUCCGCCUUCCCCACUGGCAUCAGAUGGGAGCUCUGCUGCUUUCUGUGGACAUGGUAUCAUUGCCUUCCUCACACCUAUGUCUGCAUCAUUGAAACCGCCUAUGCCCUCCCAGAAAAUAGACCAUAAAUUCCUCCCCCCCAGCUCUCUCUUGUUUUAAAAAUGUGUAUACCACAGUACGCUGUAGUUCAGUACUAACUCCAGCUUUCUGAUAAUACAGGCUCAAGCAUUAGGAGAAAUAGCAUUUUUGUCGUGGUGCAUGGAGCACUGUGCAGUUCCCAGAUGGCAGAAGGGAGCCAUGAACACACACGGGGAGCAUAAAGUAAUGCAUCCUCAGCUUCGUGCCUUGUGCUGAGCCUCUGUCAGAGAGCGUGGGCGCCGAGACCCUAUGCCUCUGGCUGCUCCAUUUGGGGCCAGCUCCAAAAACAAUCGCCCUCCUCCUGCUCCCCAUCAGGGAAAGUGAUUGCACUUGCUUGGGUACAAAAAAAAAAAAAUGUUUUUCUUAACACAUUUGUGCAAAAUGCUUUUUAAACACGAUGCACGAGCCAUACAGGAGCAAACAGCCCUUAUAAAUCCUCCCUGAAACUGGGAAACUUUUUCUUUCUCUUUCUUCUCAUUUCCUACCCAGAGGUCUGAGCUAAUUUUCUCUAUCCAUUUUUUCUUUCUCUUUCUUCUCAUUUCCUACCCAGAGGUCUGAGCUAAUUUUCCCUAUCCAUAGGGUCCCCCCACCCCCUCAAAAAAAGGAGGGGGGGAGACUGUAUUCACUAAUUAUACAUCCUGAAAAGAAUUUGGUUCAGUGUAAGAUGAUCCUAGUGAUAUGCUAAUCCUUUUUUCUGCUUGGUGCAGCCUGAAGCCUGUGUCUAACAUUUUUUUCAACUGUAUGACAAUAAAAGUUGUGGCAACAAAAGAAAUAAAUGGGCAGCUAAAGAAGGUAUAGCUGAAACACAUGGCAGACCAGUUCUCUCCUCUCCUUCUGGCUGCUCUUUUGUAGGCUCUGGUUGGGUAUCCUCAAGUCAAUAGCCGAAAGCCAGCCACCUUAGCAACUUAGUAUGACACCCAAGCCCUCUCUCUUUACAUUCAUGAAUAGUCAGCAAGCAGCAGACAAAAUAGAACUAAUCUUUUUUGACAGAAUUGUUCAAUUUUAGAGGAAAGGCUUUUGAGGCACCUUCCAUACACUUGCAGAAUAUGAGACAACAAUGGCCACGAUCACAGUUCACAAAAGGACGACCAGGGGUGUGAGCGCACACACACGCACACAACAGCCAUUUCGGUGGAAUAUUGCAGCCAAAUUGAAGUUAUUGCAGGAUACGGUCAUUGUGGCAGGGGAAGCUGACAGGCAAAAAAAAAAUAAUAAAUAAAUGAAGCAAAAAAAACAAAACCAACAACCCUCCAUUGUUUUGUUGCUGAUUAUUAAACGUACACAUCCCGAUAAUGCGUGAUUAGGGUUAUUUGCCUUGAUUAAUAGAAGUUAAGGGAGCUGAUUAAUAUCCACUCUUUAAUUUCCUGUCAUAGGCUGAUAACUUCAUCUUUAUUUUUUUUUUCCCCUUUUUGGACCAAUGAUUCUUAUUGUGAAAUGCAUUAAAUCCAGAGGGUCCUUGCCUGCAUUUAAAGCUGGUUUUGCCAUUUCAAAAUCCUGUAACGCAGCAGCCACUCGCAAGUCUGGUGUGUGCAAAGAAGGACAUUCCUCCUUUUCCCUUCUCUCCCUUCCAUUUAAUGCAAGCCAUAUCUCUAUCUCCAAAUACACUCUGGGCAGGAAAGAGGAGAAAAUAAUAAUAAGAGGAAGAAUAAAAAUCUACCCAGUCUAUGGGCAAAAACAGAAGUUAGCAACAUGGUCCAUGCAGCUGCAACACUACAUUUAAAAUUCAGUUUACUCCUAGGAAGAGGGCUAAUCCUGCCCCUGUAAUUCCCUACAGCCAAAAUGUACCCCCCUCCCUGAGUGACAGUGCAAUGCAAAGACACUCGCACGCUUAUCUUCCCCAACCAGAUGGCCGACUUGGAUCAAUGCACACACGCCACGAUCAAUGGGAGCGAUAAAGAAUUAGGAAAACAGUGGUACAUGCUCCCAGAAAGCUUGUACACUGCAUAAUUAUUUUAUGAUUCUACACAUGGCUACAUGUGAUACUGGAGUCAAGAAGGAAAAGGAUAAUUAGAGAGCCAGAAAGCACCCGUACUGCACUACACACUUUGUCAGUCAGCAGUUCCCACUCGGCUCAAGUCACCGCCGUUAUCUUCUCUCCUGCCCUCUUGCAAAUGAAUUUCAGGAAUACGUAAAAUAUUAGGGGGAGGUGGCUUCUGGGUUACAGACACGGGAUGUGGGAGAUUACCAUGUCCUGUGAUACGACAGCAAAAGUUUUUGGCUGAGAGUCGGGGUUGGCUGUGGGCACUGGGGUGGUAUCUGAGGGGACACUGCAAUGGACGGUUUAUACAUUUGAGGGCUUUGUCAUGAGAGGGACAUGUCCAAAGCUGGAUGUCCCAUUCAUUUAAUAAAAUAUAUAUAUUACUC